rnacentral:rRNA from 1 species
CGCGGUUGGGAAAACUGUGGGCUUUGCCCGCUUUGCAGGCGUGAAGGCGAGACGGGCGCGCACCUCUUCUACAAAUGCCGCUACACUAUUCGGCUCUGGAACUCGGUCAUCCUUGAAUUCGGUCUUGCGCAUAUGGACACCUCCUCUUGGCAACUGGAUGGAUUUGUUUUGGAAUGGCGGGACAAACGAACCAGCUUGCAAAACCCAAAUCGACGAGCCUUGGCCUCCCUUACAAUGCUUGUUUCUUGGACAAUCUGGAACGAGCGUAACGCUCGGGUCUUCCGUCGCAAGAGUGCACCGCCUCUGUUCCUUCUUCGUGCUAUCAUCAAUGAUGCCAAGCUUUGGGUUCUCGCGGGUGCUAAUUAUUAA